rnacentral:rRNA from 1 species
UGGAAACGAUAGCUAAUACCGCAUAACAAUGGAUGACACAUGUCAUUUAUUUGAAAGGGGCAAUUGCUCCACUACAAGAUGGACUGCGUUGUAUUAGCUAGUAGGUGAGGUAAUGGCUCACCUAGGCGACGAUACAUAACCGACUGAGAGGGUGAUCGGCCACACUGGGACUGAGACACGGGCCCAGACUCCUACGGGAGGCAGCAGUAGGGAAUCUUCGGGCAAAUGGGGGCAACCCUGACCGAGCAAACGCCGCGUGAGUGAAGAAGGUUUUCGGGAUCGUAAAAGCUCUGUUGUAAGUCAAGAAACGGGGUGUGAGAGUGGAAAAGUUCACACUGUGACGGUAGCUUACCAGAAAAGGGACGGCUAACUACGUGCCAGCAGCCGCGGUAAUACGUAGGUCCCGAGCGUUGUCCGGAUUUAUUGGGCGUAAAGCGAGCGCAGGCGGUUUGAUAAGUUCUGAAAGUUAAAGGCUGUGGCUCAAACCAUAGUUUCGCUUUGGAAACUGUCAAAACUUGAGUGCAGAAAGGGGAGAGUGGAAAUUCCAUGUGUAGCGGUGAAAAUGCGUAGAUAUAUGGAGGAAAC